AUGGCAGGCCCGGCGAGGUCCUGCGUGUCAGAGACGGGAAGGAGCGGCUCCCGCGGCCUCCUCUGCCAACCAUCGUGGGCGGAUCCGUCGAUCCCGCGACCUCCUCUGUCGUCGGACUCGCCGGCCCACGGCCCCGUCCUCUCCCCUAUUUCCUCUCCUAGAUGGGAGCACCGGGCAUCACCACCCCCUGCCGGAUCCACGAGAUUUGGCCGGAACCCCGCCAUCGGCCACCGGAAAUGGAUCCUGCAGUCCCAUCCAACUCUCACUCCUACUGUCAGGCUACGGCGACCUCCUAACGACACGACUUCGCCUCCACCUACAUCCCUCCCGUCCCCAUCGGAGGCAGCGGCGAGGCUCCCUGCGCUGACUGCAUUCAGCGUGCAGUUCUGCCCAUGGGGGCGUGCAGCUCAACCAACAGGCGCGUGCAGCCACGGUGCUGCUAUCGACCAUAGCCCACGACCGAUGCAAUUUGACCACCCCUUGUUCGUGCAGUUUGUUUGGCUAUGA
rnacentral:rRNA from 1 species